CAAAUAGAGAGUGACCAUCGAUAUCAUCAAAAUUGGAACAUUUUCUUGUGCUGUAUCCUUACAUAAUGGUACCUGGAUUAUCACAGAGAGCUUCUCCAUGCAGACUGUCAUACUGUUUUAUCACCCAGGAGGUAUCAGUUUUACGGCAAGGACACACUCAAGAAUUUAGUGGAAACGCAUGGCAAUAAUUGGAAAUGCAGAAAUGGGACGGGAACAGGUUAGGAAUGUAGGUAUAAUUCAGAAGGAAUCUCUACACACUUGAAAAUUGAGCAUAAAACAUGAAUAAAAUUUCGGAGGCAAAUGGUAGAGGAAAGAAGUCAAGAAAUGAGUCUGAGGAAAACACCCAGAUUUGGGACAGAGGAGAGCAGAAGAAAGGAAGGAAGAGAUGGAAGCUAUGAUGACAACAGCC
rnacentral:lncRNA from 1 species